rnacentral:rRNA from 1 species
GAUGAACGCUGGCGGCGUGCCUAAUACAUGCAAGUCGAGCGAAUGGAUUAAGAGCUUGCUCUUAUGAAGUUAGCGGCGGACGGGUGAGUAACACGUGGGUAACCUGCCCAUAAGACUGGGAUAACUCCGGGAAACCGGGGCUAAUACCGGAUAACAUUUUGAACCGCAUGGUUCGAAAUUGAAAGGCGGCUUCGGCUGUCACUUAUGGAUGGACCCGCGUCGCAUUAGCUAGUUGGUGAGGUAACGGCGCACCAAGGCAACGAUGCGUAGCCGACCUGGGAGGGUGAUCGGCCAGACUGGGACUGGGACACGGCCCAGACUCCUACGGGAGGCAGCAGUAGGGAAUCUUCCGCAAUGGACGAAAGUCUGACGGAGCAACGCCGCGUGGGUGAUGAAGGCUUUCGGGUCGUAAAACUCUGUUGUUAGGGAAGAACAAGUGCUAGUUGAAUAAGCUGGCACCUUGACGGUACCUAACCAGAAAGCCACGGCUAACUACGUGCCAGCCGCCGCGGUAA